rnacentral:lncRNA from 1 species
AACCAUGUUUCUGAGGCAAGUGUGCUACCACUGCGCCACGGCUGCUCUAAGAUUCAAAUUUAAUAGCUGAAGUAAAUAAUUUGACACAAUGUUUAUCAUUACAAGGCAAUAUUAAUAAUGUUUUAAAGUGGUGUAAAUGUUUUAAAGACUGGUUAAUUAACUUAAAUGUCAACAAAUAUAAAGUUAUGCACAUUGGCAAACAGAAUUUAAUGUACAAUUAUAGUAUAAAUAAAGUAGAUGGCGCACAACUAGUCUUAAAAUCGUUGAAUGAAGAAAGAGAUUUAGGAAUCACGAUAAGAUCGGAUUUGAAAUGGAAAACAUAAGAAGAAAAUGUAUUUGAUCCACUACUCAAUGCAACUAAGGCCUGGUACACGUUUUUCCGAACAAAAAUAAUUAUUGGAAUCUCCUGGGAUUCGAAGAAAAAGUUGGUUUUAAUUUUUAAAAAU